GUGCAAGUUGCAUUAUCAGGAAACCAAAUGUAUCUGUGAGGACUGUGUGGCAUAACGAUGCCGGAUAUGUUCUUCCAGGGAUGCGUCGGACAAGAACACAGCGUGAGCUCUGUAACGACUGGCUGGCAUGGUGAUGUGGAGGCGUUCUUUCGAGGAAGCAGUCGGGCAAUGGACACAGCGUGGAGGAUCCACCAGGGCAGUUGCUGGGUGUUCCAUCUCCAUCGUUAGGGUCCUUGCAGGUGGGGUGGGUGGCUCCCGUGGCCACUUGCUGGACGGUCCUGUGGCGGACGACCCUAGCGGGGCAGCCUUUCCGUCUUUCUGCCCGCACGGGGUGUGGUCUCUCG